rnacentral:lncRNA from 1 species
UAACAUUUUGUCAAAUUCUAAUAUGAAAACCGUUGGGGCUGAUCUGGAUUCACUAACUCUCUUUAUUUGCAUCUUUUUCAUCAGGGUUUUAGAGAGAGAGAGAGAGAGAGAGAGAGAGAGUUCUAGAUAAAAUGUAUUUUCAUUGAAAAUUUGUUUUACAAAUUUAUGUGGAUUCAAAUCUAUGUUUUAGAUUGCAUAUCAUCCAUAGGAUUAGAUUUGUAAUCGGUGUCUUCAAGAUGGUUUGAUUUUAUUUGUUUCUCAAAUCUAUGUUUGCUAUAGUUCAUUUGGAUUUUUUUGGAAGUGUUGUUGAGAAGCUAGUGCCAUAAAAAUGAUGAGUUAGAUGAUGGUGAGCUGCCAUGAUUAUGAAGAUUAGUAGUUGCCGUGAUACUAUGAUUCAAAUGAAGAUUGCACAAGGUGUUGGUGGUGCCAUAGAGGUGAAGAGCUCAAGGUUGAGCUAGCUGCCAUCCACAAGAAGACUUUAUGGGUUCCUUGAAGAUGAAGAGCUAGAGAAUCUAGUUGUCAUCCACAAUAAGACCCGAUGGGGCCUUGGAGAUGACGAGCUCAAGGUUGAGCUAGCUGCCAUCUACAAGAAGACUUCAUGGGUGCCUUGAAGAUGAAGAGCUAGAGGAGCUAGUUGUCAUCUACAAUAAGACUCGAUGGAGCCUUGGAGAUGAAGAGCCCAAGGGUGAGGAGCUGCCAUUUUCAUGAAGACUGGUAUUAUGGUUCAAAGGUAUAGCUCCUUCCUAAUAUGGGUACAUGAAAUCUGAGCUUGAUUGGAUCUUCUUUGUAAGAAUCUUUUUUACACACUAUGGAUUGUCUGGUGAGACUGAUGACCCCGAGUGUUUACCCAGUGGCAAGCUUUUAGGUUAUCAUGGUUUGGUGUUGAUUCUUGCUGGGUGUCUAUUCUGGAUCUGUGAUUUGAUAAGUAGCCUUCAUAUAUUUUAUCAUCGAGAGUUACAUUUACAUUGAGAGAAAAUUCUAAGCUAAAGGAGAAAAAAAACAGAGAGUUUGAGAGGAGACCAGGCAACCCCUUGCCGAAGUGUUAAAAAGCUAUUGGAAUUGCAAAAAAGUAAGGUCAAACACUUCAAAGUAUUGAUGAGCAAAUUAUAUAUAUGGCGUUGGCGGGUGAAAUUGGAUUAAUGAAUUAAGAUGUUAAGGGUUUGUUUAGAAGUAAUUCUGGAUAGGCCAAUAAUCACUUCUAUGGAGAAUUAUUUUUCCAUUACUUUAAACGGUUUUAAGUAAAUUUAUGGAAAAUCACAUGGGAAGUGUUUUUUUCCAGAAUCACUUCAAAUCACUAAAAGUGAUUAUAUAUGAAGAAGAUGAGAUGUGCUUCUCCCCAAAAAUGAUUUUUGCCUAUCUAAAAUCACUCUCAAACAAGAUCACAUAUGGAACAAUAAUUUUCUAGUCAUGUUCCAC